rnacentral:rRNA from 1 species
GUAGGUGGCAAGCGUUGUCCGGAAUUAUUGGGCGUAAAGCGCGCGCAGGUGGUUCUUUAAGUCUGAUGUGAAAGCCCCCCGGGCUCAACCGGGGAGGGUCAUUGGAAACUGGGGAACUUGAGUGCAGGAGAGGAAAGUGGAAUUCCACGUGUAGCGGUGAAAUGCGUAGAUAUGUGGAGGAACACCAGUGGCGAAGGCGACUUUCUGGCCUGUAACUGACACUGAGGCGCGAAAGCGUGGGGAGCAAACAGGAUUAGAUACCCUGGUAGUCCACGCCGUAAACGAUGAGUGCUAAGUGUUGGGGGGUUUCCGCCCCUCAGUGCUGCAGCUGACGCAUUAAGCACUCCGCCUGGGGAGUACGGUCGCAAGACUG